GGCUUCGCCCGAGAAAUCCCUUGGGUGCAAUCGAACCCGGGCCGCCCGCGUGGCAGGCGAGCAUUCUACCACUGAACCACCGAUGC